GGGUCCGAUAACUUAUUACACACCAUUUCAUUUUGGUUCUUCUCUUUCCAUUAUAAGGCCACGGUGUCACGUUUACUAAUUCAAUCUUUUCAAUAAUUAUUUCCAUUUUGUAUUUCGAAUGGACAUAGACGGUAUUUAAAGAUCUUUUUCUCUUUUUGUUGAAUACAUGACUACAUGUCUAUAACUUUCAUAAACAUUUCUUAAAUUAAUAGGAUAAGUGAUAGAUAUCUGUUAACGUAUAAAAAUUACACUAAAUAAUCCUACACUUCCAACGGACCUAUCUUCUGUGUAAUAGGAUUGAGUGAUUUGUGAGCUAACGUUGAAGAAUAUGUUUUGUCACCUUAACACACACAAACCCGAGCUUUUCAC
rnacentral:lncRNA from 1 species